ACGCUCGACACCUACGGGAGACAGCAGUCGGGAAUAUUGCGCAAUGGAGGAAACUCUGACGCAGUGACGCCGCGUAUAGGAAGAAGGUCUUCGGAUUGUAAACUAUUGUCGUUAGGGAAGAAAAAGGACAGUACCUAAGGAGGAAGCUCCGGCUAACUACGUGCCNGCAGCCGCGGUAAUCUGAGCGGGCUGGCAAGGC
rnacentral:rRNA from 1 species